rnacentral:rRNA from 1 species
UACGUAGGGUGCGAGCGUUGUCCGGAAUUAUUGGGCGUAAAGAGCUCGUAGGCGGUCUGUCGCGUCGGAUGUGAAAAUCCAGGGCUCAACCCUGGACCUGCAUUCGAUACGGGCAGACUAGAGUUCGGUAGGGGAGACUGGAAUUCCUGGUGUAGCGGUGAAAUGCGCAGAUAUCAGGAGGAACACCGGCGGCGAAGGCGGGUCUCUGGGCCGAAACUGACGCUGAGGAGCGAAAGCGUGGGGAGCGAACAGG